rnacentral:lncRNA from 1 species
AAUUUCAUUGGAAAUUUGCCAAUAUAAAAUAAUGCAUUGGAGUUAUUGGUUAUCUUUCUUUGUCCAAAAUAGUAGUUAAAUCAACUUAAAUCAUGACUGUAUGACAUUUUAUAUUUUAUGAUGUAUUUAAUGAGUAGUUAUUGUUGAAAACUCCAUAAGAAAUUUGAAUUGAGAUCAUUUUUGGAAUAAGGGAAAUGGGGAGGUGAAAAAAAAUUGGUGGGGUUCAAUUUUUCUUAUUUCAGAUUUCAGAAAUGAAAAAGAAAAUUUCUUCAAAUAUCAAAGGAUUCAUAUUCAACAGCAUACUGAAUUGCUCAAAAGCAAAAAAAAAAACAUUUUAAGUUCAUUAGACCACAUUCAUUCUGUGUCAGAAACCUAUGCUGUGUCAACUAUUUAAUCACAAUCUAAAUUCAGAGCUGUAUCCAGUUUGAAUGUUGUGUCCAUACUAGCCCCAACCGUUCAGGGUUCAACCUCUGUGGUCGUAUAAAGCUGUGCCUUGUGGAGCUUCUGGUUAAACUCCUGUAAUGAGCUCUUUUAAGUCUUUUGACAAAAAAAUCCACAAUGAAAUGGUUCAUAGCUGAUAUUUUAUAGCAUCAAUAUGCAGAAUGAAAACUUAAUAAUAAGUUAUUGGUAUGCAUUUCCCCAGUUGAAACACUUUUCUUAGCUUGUUUCUUGUUAGGAUUUCUGAGAUCUAGAGUAACAGCUUACAACAUGUACAAGGAAUCUACUGAAAAACAAGAGGCUCUCAAGAGCCUGAAUCGCUCACCUGGUAAACAAUGCCUUCGGCCAUGUUUUUUGACGAAAUAGAAAAUAAAACACAAACUUUAUUUUAUACACCCUACUGAUCAUUCAAAUGAAGUUUGGUUGAAUUUGGUUGAGUAGUUUUAGAGGAGAAGAUUUUUUAAAGUUAGCAAAUAUG